rnacentral:lncRNA from 1 species
UUUUCCUCAAAACUUAUGCCCCAAUUUAUCUUACCUUCACUGAAACAAAACGCUUUUAGAUGUUGAUAUUCAACCUACCAUUUCAUGCCCAUGUUCUCCUCCUUGCUACUUGCAGCCAAUGUCUACCACUCUUAAUUGUCAUUAUUUUCAAAUGUAACAACUUUACCAACAGUAGCAAAUACCUAAUGCAACUCAUUCGACUUCAGAAAAAAGCUCAGGCUAGAAUUUCCGGUGGGAGGGGGUCACCACUUGAAGUUAAGAAGGUCCAAAGCAUUCAUCAGUAAACAAGCA